CCUGGGCACCACAGACAUUCUCAAGUCCCCCCUGGAUGGGGGGCCCGGGCUGUGGCAAAGGGACACAGUGCAAGAAUAUGGCGACCAAGUACGGCUUCUGCCAUGUGGGGCUGGACCAGCUACUGAGACAGGAGGCUCAAAGGAGCACGCAGCGGGGCCGGCAGAUCCGUGACAUCACGCUGCAGGGGCUCCUGGUGCCCGCGGUGGGCCAGGCCCCCAGCGUCGUCAUCGUGUUUGACUGCUCCAUGGAGACGAUGCUCCGACGAGUGCUACACUGGGGCCAGGUGGAGCACCGGGCAGACGACUCGGAGCUGGCCAUCCACCAGCGCUUGGACACGCACUAUACCUUGUGUGAGCCGGUCUUGACCUACCAGCGCAAUAACCUGCUCUGAAACAUCCCGGCAGAAGCAGCACCAGAGAACAUCUUUGCCAAGUGCUGCUCUGUCAUUGAGAGUCUGCAGUGAGACAGAGGGGCUGGGGGUGGGCCUUGCCCCUCACCGGAACCCGUGCAGUACGUGGGAAGGGUGCGU
rnacentral:lncRNA from 1 species